rnacentral:rRNA from 1 species
UACGUAGGGUGCAAGCGUUAAUCGGAAUUACUGGGCGUAAAGCGUGCGCAGGCGGUUUUGUAAGUUUGUCGUGAAAGCCCCGGGCUCAACCUGGGAAUUGCGAUGAAGACUGCAAGGCUUGAAUCUGGCAGAGGGGGGUAGAAUUCCACGUGUAGCAGUGAAAUGCGUAGAGAUGUGGAGGACACCGAUGGCGAAGGCAGCCCCCUGGGUCAAGAUUGACGCUCAUGCACGAAAGCGUGGGGAGCAAACAGGG